GUAUAACCUUGAAGUCUGCUCCAUGUUUCAAAGGCUAGAGGAAAUGAACACGCAGACAAUGCUGGUGUCAUUUGAAGACCUGGUUGUGAACUUCACCCAGGAGGAAUGGAAGAUCAUGGACACUGCUCAGAGGACCCUGUACAGGGAUGUGAUGCUUGAGACCUAUAGCAAUCUGCUCUCCUUGGGAUACUACAUUAGCAAGCCUGGUGUGAUCUUGGAACAAGGAGCAGUGCCAUGGACAGUGGAAAAACCUGUCAACAAACAAGUCUCAG